GUGAAUCAUCGAAUCUUUGAACGCACAUUGCGCCUUCUGGAAUUCCGGGAGGCAUGCCUGUUUGAGCGUCAGUAAACAACCCUCGGGUGGGAGUAAUUUUUACUUCCGUUUCCGGUCAUGGGCGCCGGUGCUGCCAGUCCUCCCCGACCUGCAAAGAGUUGGGGGGGACGCCACCCGCCUUAAAGACGUUGCAGCCCGACCGCUGGAACUCCCCGCCACAUGGGACAACGGAGUGGAAAUUUAACACCGUCCGCGGCCCGAGCGAAAGGAUACGGCGGCGCAAAGCCACAUCAGACACUG
rnacentral:misc_RNA from 1 species